CAUUUGCAUAUUCCCUUAGCGGAGGAAAAGAAACCAACAGGGAUUGCCUCAGUAGCGGCGAGUGAAGCGGCAAGAGCUCAGAUUUGAAAUCGCCUCGGCGAGUUGUAAAUUGCAGGUUGGAGUYUUUGUGGCGGCGUGUGUCUAAGUCCCUUGGAACAGGGCGCCAUUGAGGGUGAGAGCCCCGUGCGGCACGCGUYUAAGCUUUAAGACCCUUCUGACGAGUCGAGUUGUUUGGGAAUGCAGCUCUAAGUGGGUGGUAAAUUCCAUCUAAGGCUAAAUACUGGCGAGAGACCGAUAGCGAACAAGUACUGUGAAGGAAAGAUGAAAAGCACUUUGAAAAGAGAGUGAAACAGCACGUGAAAUUGUUGAAAGGGAAGGGUAUUGGGCUCGACAUGGGGAYUGCGCACCGUUGCUUCUUGUAGGCGGCGCUCUGUGCGGUUUCUGGGCCAGCAUCAGUUUUUGCCGCGGGAGAAUGGGGGGAGGAACGUGGCUCUUCGGAGUGUUAUAGCYUCUCUCAGAUGCCGCGAGCGGGGACUGAGGUCUGCGA
rnacentral:rRNA from 1 species